ACUAUUGGCUGGACACAGCAAGGUCCUUAUCAUCCCUCUUGGGGAUGGCCGGGGUUCAGCCUUAAAGGCCCAUAGUAGCGAGCCAUGCGUAGCCUCGCAGACUUUCUGGAACCGGCCACAGCCAUAACCAUGGCUGCUACAUUGCUUUCACCUCACCUUCUCUUAAACCCUAAACUAUCCAUACAAAACUCUGCUUCUAAAUUCCCAACACCCAAAUCCCGCUCAACCCCCAAAAUUAGGGCAGCCUUCUCCGACCCAUUUGUCCUCCAGAUUGCAGAAAGCCUAGAGGACUCUCUCUCUUCUUCUUCAACCUCUUCUCCACCACCUCUCCAAAAGCUCAGAGACGCCUCCUCACAAACCGUACUUUCUACUCCAUGGCCUUCUCGCAAAGACGAGCCCUUCCGCUUCACAGACACUUCCCUUAUCAGAUACUCCCAAGUCACCCCUAUUUCACACCCACCAACUUCAAUCGCCAUUUCCACCGACACCCAAUUUCCCAAUCUCUCCAUCGUGGAUGGCCACAUUGUAUAUUCUCUCUCCAAUUUGUCCCAAUUGCCCACUGGCGUUUUCGUAGGUUCCCUGUCGAGCCUCCCUUCUGAAACCAUCACGAAAAAGGUGUCUGAAUUUGUGGCCAAUUUUGAAGGAGACCUGUUUUGGUCCCUCAACGGGUUGGGCACACCGGACAUGGCUGUUGUGUAUGUUCCGGCUGGGUGUCGCGUGGAAAUGCCCCUUCAUAUUGUGUAUUAUUCCGUUGAGGGUGGGGAUAUCGGGUCUAAGAAGUUACCUGUGUCAAAUCCAAGGGUUUUUGUCUUGGUGGAGGAGGGCGGGGAGAUUGGUGUGAUUGAGGAGUAUGUGGGUGUAGGUGAGAACAAGUGUUAUUGGGCCAAUACAGUUACUGAGGUGGUGAUUGGGGAAGGGGCUAAAGUGAAGCAUUCUUACAUUCAAAGCCAGUCUUUGAGUGCUGCUCAUAUCAAGUGGACUUCAGUUCAGCAGGGAUCUUCUAGUUCCUAUGAGCUUAUAGAGGUAAGUACUGGUGGAAAAUUGAGCAGGCAUAAUGUCAACAUCCAGCAAGUUGGCCCAGAUACAGUAACAGAGUUGUCAGCUUUUCACUUGUCUGUUGGUGACCAAACACAAGAUCUACAUAGUAGACUAGUCCUGGACCAUCCACGAGGGUACUCCCGGCAACUUCACAAGUGCAUUGUGGCUCAUUCACUAGGACAAGCUGUAUUUGAUGGGAAUAUAAAAGUCAACAGAUACGCACAGCGGACAGAUGCAGGACAACUAACAAGAAGCCUUCUUCUUGAGCCUCGGGCAACUGUAAAUGUCAAACCCAACCUCCAAAUCAUUGCUGAUGAUGUCAAGUGUUCCCAUGGAGCUGCAAUUAGUGACCUGGAAGAAAACCAACUUUUCUACUUCUUGGCGCGUGGUAUUGAUUUAGAGACUGCUAGAAAGGCUCUCAUCUUCUCCUUUGGAGGUGAGGUUAUAGAGCGUUUGCCUUAUUCCUCGAUCCGGAAGAAAGUAGAGACUCAUAUCAAAGCACUGUUGGAACCCACACUUAAAGGUUCCUCAUGAUGAGUAGUAAAUGAGAAUAUAUUGAUCUAGAAUGCAGUCCUCCGAAAGACUCAAGGUGAUCGAACCAUUUAACAUUCAAAUUUCUAUAAAGUAAUGGUGUGUUCUCAGCAGUUGGAAUAAUUAGUGGUGUUGUCACUUGCUAGCACCCAAGCUGCCUCUUAGGAGAAAACCUGGGAUCCAAUCUGCCUUGUGGCAGCUUAAAGGGCAGCCUUUAAGUUUGGAAAAUUUCAAGGAUUGAAGUGUAUGGAUCCUCUGCUAGAGAUGUGGCUAAGCAGCUCAAGGUAUGUAUUGUAUAUAUAUUUGGAAAAUAAUCUAGAAUCAGGUGGUCCUCAAAAUAAUAUAAAGAGGAUCUGAAAUAUUGUCAACUACAUAAUAUUAAUUAUUUCUUGAGGUGUUUUUAAAUAUUAAUAUAUUUUAUAGGGAAAUCAAUGCAUAAUUGGCUUGUGGGCCAUAAAUUAAUAUCACAGUUACCAAAAAUUGUGGGCAGUGAAGAAUCGAAAGCCCAUGUGAAAAAGGUUAUUUUCAGACCUUGAAAGAAGGAAACAAAGAACUCUUCUCUUUCAAAUCAGUUUCUGAACUUUGUGUUGGAUGUAUACCUCACUGGCAGGGUUAUCUGGCACAUUUGGUCCUGCCAUUCAGGCUGUGUCUUUGCAUCUCUUUCCUUAGUUUUUUCUUUCCUUAUUUCUCCUCUAUUUUUUUCCUCCAAAACUGAGUUAAUGCAUAUGUGGACCACUUUAUUUGAGAUCUAUUUGGUUUGGGUUGGUCUUGGUUUGGGAUGCUUAAAUAGAGGGAGACAGAUUUGAGAAUCAAUAUUCCGAGAAUGAGAAACUGUCCAUGCUAGGAUUUGAGAAUCAUCAGCCAUUAGCCUUGUUACUACAAAGUCAUGGCAUGGGCCAUCCAUUGGUUUUUCAUUGGUACAAGGCCCUAAACCUUUGUGGCAAUUUUUGGAGUAGUGGUAAACUUAUACAUCUUAUUGGCCUUCAUGUUGUUUGCUUUUCCUUCAUUUUUUUUCUUUUAUAUAUAUUAAAUUAUCCUUUCUCUCACUCUUAUAUUUUCUGAUUAAUUUGAACCCAUAAGGCUCUUGUGGCAAGCUUAAUAUUUAUGAAUCCUUUAGAGGAAUGAGAAUUUCUGGAAAAACUAAGACCCAGUCUCCAAUAAAGAAAGCAUGGCUGAGAUCCAAAUCUGCAUGUAUGUUGUGUGUUUAGCAUGUUCUGUGAUUCUUAAUGUGCUGCUGCUUCUGAGCAAUUAUGUGUAUGUGGGUGGGAAAGGGGAGUUGAGUUGGAGCAGCAGAGGAAGCAGAAGCAGUGGCAGCAGUGACAUGCUCCGGCCAUGGAAGAGCAUACUUGGAUGGUUUGGUUGUUGAUGGAAGCCCUGUUUGUGAGUGCAACUACUGCUUAAGAGGCCUUAACUGCUCUCAAUUCUCACCUGAUUGUGUUGCAGAUGUUGACUGGUAUGUAUAUUUCUCUCACCCACCACAAAGAAGUUCUGGUGAUAUUGUUGUUCAAAGAAAUAGUAAAUACUAAUAUAUAUAGAUAUGGAUAGAUAUAUAUAUAUUGCAGAAUAAUCAGUUUUCAUUCAAGGCAAAAUUUUGGUUCAUCUUUACUGAGAAGGGACUCAAAGUUUGAUUGUAGUUUUGUGAUUUUAAGGAGAAUUAAUUAAAUGAAUGAGAUGAUCAAACUGAUAAAAAUCUUUUGUAGUGUACAUUAGAAUGGGUGGGGGGCAGGUUAAGAUUUUGGCAGCACAAUUGUUGUUGAUCAUUAUUGUUGCUCAUUUUUUAUUUUAGGCUUUCAUUAUGACAAUCCAUAGAACAGCCAACGAGAAUAGAAGCUGCUGUGUUUAACACGGAAAAACAAGCCAACCUGGUAUAUUCCUUGCUAGGAGCAAAUCCCAGAGUGACAUAAUGAGAACAGUCGGUACAUUAAUGUGAGCUUUGACUAGUUUUUAUAAUUCUUUUUUAAAAAAUUUUAAAAUGCUACUUAACCUUAAAAAAAUUAACACCAAGUUAGUGAAGCAGUGGAUGGACAGAAGGAUGCUGCUUGGUAGAGAAUAAAUAUUAUCCCAUAUACGGCUACCUAGAGUGGGAGGAAGGUUGAGAUCGAAUUGGAAUGGGGAAAGGCAUGUAAAAGGUGCACACAUUUUGCAAUAGGGACUGUGCGAAUGACUUAGGAUGACAAGUGAGUUAGGUAAGUUUCUUUCUAGUUGGCUGUGGAUGAUUCCCGUAAACCAAUUCUGUCUCUUGCCUUAGUUGGUUUGGAUUUCUCAGGUCUUAAACUUAAUAGGAAAACCUUUCAUGCCUAAGCCAUAUAAUCCCACCAACACAGUACAGAAUAGCAGCAUUUGGGCUAAGAUUGGCCUGGAGGAUUGAGUCCAGAUUUUGUUUGUGGAUCAUUGAGAGAUCAAGGGUAAUCAUGCCACCUUUGAAGAAAUUGCUUGACUUCCUCCAUUAACCUUGUAGCCCAAAAAAUUUCAUUGGGUCUUUCACUUGUGAAAAUUUGUUGCCCACUUGAAGCAGUCCAUCAAGAAAAGGUCGAUAGGGUAGUGGUUAAAUGGAUUUGGAUGUAUGUUGAAGAGUGCGUGAUAAAUAAAAAUGCGAAAAUACAUGAGAAAGCAAUGACAUUGGAAUUGGGUAAAAUACCUUUAUCUUCUCUAAGGAUUUUUUUUGGGAUUUUUAUUAUGGUGGUGGUUUGGGGGAAUAUAUCAUUUUCCGAAAGAACUGGCGUGUAGCCUGCUUUGUGGACUUAAACCUGUUCGAUCCUUUUCGUCUUGACAGGUUUUUCUUCCUGGAUAAUUUGACUGGAUUUGAAAUCACUUAACUUUUGGAGGUGAGCAGUUAUUAUUAUUAUUGUUCUGACUCUUAUGCAUUUCAGUUGUUAUUUUUUGGUUCUAGUUUUUGACCAUUUGAAGGUGAGUGAUUAGAUGCACUUACCAAUCUGGAUGGAGUUUGCUAUUUCGUUUGAAUUCUGUGGUUUAGUGGCUAAUAAGAAGGGAACAUCUUGGUGCCGGAGCUUUGGUUCCAAGCUCUGUGUUCUUGGGCAACAGCUUGAAGAAGGUGAACUCCAAGCUUGCCCAACUGAGGAUUUCAUCUGGGAACUUCAAGGUUGUUGUGGAAGUUGAUGAGGAUGAGCAGACCUUAAAGGACAAAUGGAAAGGCCUUGCCUUUGAUACCUUGGAUGAUCAAUAGGACAUCACUCCAGGAAAGGGAAUGGUGGACUCUCUCUUCCAAGCUCCCAUGGGAUUGACCUUCAAGUCUUCUAACAAAUAUCUUAGCCAAUUGAUCUUACAACAAGUUGAUGCCAUAGACCUGUACUCUUCUAUGGAAGAACGUCAAAUUGUUAUUUGCUUGCUUGUCUUGGAAGAAAUAGGUGAUUGGCCAAGUAAUUAAUAUGUAAUAUCCGAUAAUUGACUGCUGAGUA